rnacentral:rRNA from 1 species
GCCAUGCAUGUCUAAGUAUAAGCAACUAUACUGUGAAACUGCGAAUGGCUCAUUAAAUCAGUUAUCGUUUAUUUGAUAGUACCUUUACCUGGAUAACCGUGGUAAUUCUAGAGCUAAUACAUGCUAAAAACCUCGACUUCGGAAGGGGUGUAUUUAUUAGAUAAAAAACCAAUGCCCUUCGGGGCUCCUUGGUGAAUCAUAAUAACUUAACGAAUCGCAUGGCCUUGCGCCGGCGAUGGUUCAUUCAAAUUUCUGCCCUAUCAACUUUCGAUGGUAAGAUAGAGGCUUACCAUGGUCUUAACGGGUAACGGGGAAUUAGGGUUCUAUUCCGGAGAGGGAGCCUGAGAAACGGCUACCACAUCCAAGGAAGGCAGCAGGCGCGCAAAUUACCCAAUCCCGACACGGGGAGGUAGUGACAAUAAAUACUGAUACGGGGCUCUUUUGGGUCUCGUAAUUGGAAUGAGUACAAUCUAAAUCCCUUAACGAGGAACAAUUGGAGGGCAAGUCUGGUGGAGGAACAAUUGGAGGGCAAGUCUGGUGCCAGCAGCCGCGGUAAUUCCAGCUCCAAUAGCGUAUAUUAAAGUUGUUGCCGUUAAAAAGCUCGUAGUUGAACCUUGGGCCUGGCUGACCUGUCCUCCUAAUCGAGCGCACGGGUUCGGUCGGGCCUUUCCUUCUAGGGAACCCCAUGCCCUUCACUGGGUGUGGUGGGGAACUAGGAC